rnacentral:tRNA from 1 species
GGUCUCAUAGCGCAGCUGGUAGAGCGUGCGUGUUUUCAAAGCGUAGGCGGCUUCCAUGUGUGUGUGUGUUCGAAUCCCACCGAGGCUA